rnacentral:rRNA from 1 species
AGUCAAGUAAUUAAGUGCAUGUGGUGGAUGCCUUGGCAGUCAGAGGCGAUGAAAGACGUAAUAGCCUGCGAUAAGCUCCGGGGAGGCGGCAAAUAUCCUUUGAUCCGGAGAUUUCUGAAUGGGGGAACCCACCCGCUAUAAGGCGGGUAUCAUAAGCUGAAUACAUAGGCUUAUGAAGCGAACGAGGGGAAGUGAAACAUCUCAGUACCCUUAGGAAAAGAAAUCAAUUGAGAUUCCCUUAGUAGCGGCGAGCGAACGGGGAGCAGCCCAUUAAGUUGUGUGUGUUCUAGUGGAACGCUCUGGGAAGUGCGAACGUAGAGGG